UACGUAGGGUGCGAGCGUUGUCCGGAAUUACUGGGCGUAAAGAGCUCGUAGGUGGUUUGUCGCGUUGUUCGUGAAAACUCACAGCUCAACUGUGGGCGUGCGGGCGAUACGGGCAGACUGGAGUACUGCAGGGGGAGACUGGAAUUCCUGGUGUAGCGGUGGAAUGCGCAGAUAUCAGGAGGAACACCAAUGGCGAAGGCAGCUCGCUGGAACGGUACUGACGCUGAAGCGCGAAAGCUAGGGGAGCAAACGGGGA
rnacentral:rRNA from 1 species